UGGCUCAGCGGUUAAGAGCACUGGCUGUUCCUCCAGAGGUCCUGAGUUCAAUUCUCAG
rnacentral:tRNA from 1 species